CUGGUUAUUUUGAGAAACUCCAGACACAGGAGUAGCUCUGAAAACAAGGAUGAAGGUUGCCCUUUGGUAAGGGAAAUUUACAUCUAUGAAGAAAAUAUCUGGGGGGUGUCUCCUCUGCACCGGGAAGAGAGGGAUGACUAAACCACUAGAGGCUCUUAACGGAGAAAGGAAAUGAUGGUAUUUCAGCCUGAAGUCUAAGACUAAGAUCU
rnacentral:lncRNA from 1 species